CUUUUUAUUGCAUUCGUUGUCUAACAACAAUAAUACUCAUUGGCAAGAAGUUUUUAUUUACAUUAACAAAGUAAAUUUAAUCACAGGUAUUUUUAGAUUGGUCAGAAAAUAAAAGACCACUGGUAUAUUUUGCUUUGAGUAUCUCUGAAAACAAAAGCAUAAGGAAUGGCAUUUGAAAUGGUACAUAUUAACCAAGCACAAGAGAACAAUUCAGACAUUGCACUACUGUCUCUUCCAUGCAAAUAAUCAGACAUCAAAAUGUAGAAAUUAAAAGUUCAGGUAACAUGCUACCCAUACUUUUUGGACUCAAAUUUAUUUUCAAACAACUUUCUUUAGUGAAAAAGAAAUAUGAAAGUGAAUCAAAUCCUUACAGAACAGAAUGUAUUCCCUUUUAUUUCUCAGCUGCCCAGCUUUGUUAGUAAUAUGUAGCAGGUAUAAUUGUGGUUUAAUCGCAACACCAUUAAAAAGUACAAAAGCAGCAGUUCUGAUAUUAAUAUUGAGGAAAGCAUAUGCAUAUAGAUUUAAAGGACUUCACUAAGCACUAACUACAUUCGAUGUUGUUGGGAGGUCUUAUCUAGCCAGGGUGGCCCUUCCUGCCAUUUUUGGGUAAUCUAUUUUUGGCCAAUUCUUCUUUCAUGAGUGGAUGAUUAAAUCUUGAACAGAAAGCCUAAGUGUAAGAAUAAAAGAGCUGAAAGAAACAGAAGUGUACACCUUCCAACAACUCACACUUAAAAUGAUUCACUUUAUUUUUGGGGACAUCCAAAAUGCCAUUACUUAGCACAAGAUGACCAAAAUGCCAUUAUUUGGCACAAUAAGUAAAUAAAUGGUCAUGUAAUGGCUACACUGCCAUCAGAGGCAGUGGUGACUUUAGCAUCACAGCUACUGAUGUCAUCUUAGAAGUCAAUGCACAAGAACACACAGUGCAAUUUUUAGCCAAGAAAACUGCAGUCUGCAGUUGAAAAUGCCCAAAGCUGCAUAAUAUCUUCUGAGCUCUAACUCAAAAAUGUGCAAUCUUGAAAUGAAAGCAUUAACCAAACAC
ensembl:lncRNA